rnacentral:lncRNA from 1 species
GACAGCUGGCUAAGUCUGAUCGUUCCCCUCCGUGCAACUUGAAAACUAUCACUGUAUACUGCUUUCCUGGCCAUUUGGUUUAGUAUCUCUGCCAGGUAAAUAAAUGAGAUUAUUGAAAAAAUAGGCAACCAAGUAAAGUUAUUUCUGCAUCAUUUUAAUUAUUUUGAGAUAUUUUAUGUUUUUUAAAAGUAGGUAUUACUAUUUACUUAUUUAAGGAACCUACAGUCAGGAAGUGGAAUGAACGUAGAAAUAUUUUUCUUAUGGACCGGAUUGACUUAUAAGUAAAGGUUAUCAGUAAUCAUCUAAAACUGAUUUAUAUGUAGAACAGCUGAUUAGAGGUAGCUUUCAUGAAAUUUUUUCAUUAAAUUUUUUUUAACCAAGAAAGUAAAUUUUUUUCCAAAAUACAUUUUAUGUCAUCUUUUAAGUCUAACCACAGUUCAAAGAAAUGACCAUUUCUAAGAAAAGCUGGAUACAAGUGUUUGGAUAUGAGGUGUGUCCAAAAGCUCUUAUUAAUGCAGGAAUAUUCAGAGGCAAAAUGAUUCGAUUAUGAGAGCUGUAAAAUGUAAUUGGUCCCUCCCAGUUUGAAUGGACUAAUUGAUAACUAUAGGCAGGUAGAACAUGACUAGAGGAGGUGUGUCACUGAGGGCAAGGGUACAUCUUUCUCUAGGACAUCUUCCUCUCUCCCCCUCCCCUUCUCUCUACCUUCUUUCAUAAUCUGCUUCCUGAUCCACCAUGAGCUAAGUAGUGUUCCUCUACUGGACCCUUCACCCCAUGAGGUUCUGUCCUACCUGGGGCCCAGAGCAGUAGUCAGCCCUCUAUGUUCUGAGUCCUGAAACUGUGAGCCCCAAAGAAACUUUUCC